UUUUCCUCUUCUCCCCAAGCCCCCCAGUACAUAGUUGUAUAUUCUAGUUGUGAGUGCCUCUGUUUGUGCUAUGUGGGACGCUGCCUCAGCAUGGCCUGAUGAGCGGUGCCAUGUCCACACUGAGGAUCCAAAUCUGGGAAACCUUGGGCUGCUGAAGCAGAGGACGUGAACUUAACCAUUGGGCCACAGGGCCAGCCCCAGAAUUUGCAUUUUUAACAAGCAUCCAAAAGGCUUGACAUUCAGAAUGUGGCAUCACCUGGGAGCUCAUCAGAGGUGCAGAGGCCCCAUCACAGACCUCCUGAAUCUUAAUCUGCAUCUUAACAGGAUCCCCACACAUUAAAGUUUGAGAAGCACGGUUCUAGAAGAUUCCCUCACAUGCCGAAGUUUGAGAAUCACUGGUCUAGGAAGACUGACGAGUAUAAAGGUGAGUUUGGCACAACGUGAUGAGCGCCUUUACAGAGGAUCAUGUGAGUUGUUCUGGGCAUGCGGAAAGGGAACAGUUUCCUCUGUCGGAGGUUUCCAGGAGGGGUGAUGUCACUUGCUGCUUAAAGAGGAAGGAGAAGUUGGCCAGGCUAAAGGGAUGGGACAGGGGUGAGAGCUUUGGUCAGAGGAAGCCAACGUGUUGAGCAAAAGAGAACAUUGCACGUUUAGGGAACAAGAAAAGUAUCUGAAAUUGCAGUGUUGUUUUUUUGUUUUGAAACUUAUUUAAACUCUGAACAUCAACCAAAGGACAUAUUUUUUAAAAACUCAGUGGUUAAAGAUCUUCUUAUCAAUCUUUAAGGGGCAUGGGGAAUCAGAUUUUUCCAUUCCUAUCAUGCUGCCUUCUUUGGCCUCCCUUGACAACUUUUUUACAUCAUUUCUUCAUUCAUUCAUUCAAACACGUGGACACCGCCGGGCACUGUGCUGUGCGCCUUUUAUGUGGUGGCAAGUGAAACUGAAAUAGUUCCUGCCCUCGCAGAGUUUAUAGCUGAGGCUGGGGUGGGCGUGGAGAAGCCAAUCAACAGGCAAAUGAACAAAUGUGUAAUUAUUAAUUGAGAAAACGGCUAAGAAGUGUGCUACGACGGAGAAUAAAGUGGGGAAGCUUCCAGGCAGGUCUUCCGGUCACACCACCACAUCCUCUCGGAAAGCGGCCGAAGCGACAGGACAUCCUCACUAAGGACCCCGCGGUCGCCCCACGGGCGCGCGCACUUGCCGUUUUGCUGGGAAUCCGAACGCGGGUGAAGCCCUCCCCACAAACGCCCCCUGUCCAGCCGGUGCUACACCGUGAAGGGGCGGUGACCCUUCGCAGCUCAAACCUGAAACGAGGAGCAGCCUCCAGGUUCUGUUAAAACAAGGCGACAGGCCAAGCGAGUCGCCGCGCGAAGCUCGCGUCGCCACACCAGACGUCACUGCGGCGUCGGCUCUCCCACAAGCGGGUCUUAAGCCAGUCAGUCAGGAACGCGCGGGUCGGCGCCCGCGAGGCCAUCGGCCCGACGGGCCUGCGGUCCCCUAGAGCAGGAGACCGUGCCACAGGCCAUCUGCUCCUUGUGGGAACGGCCUGCUCCCGUACGUCGCCGCCGGGCUGUGUCUGCGACGCAGGACGCGGCAGGCCGCCCCGCGCCCUCGCUCUCCCGCUGUCCUCCCAGCCCCCGUCGCAAGGCGCCCUCUCGGCCACUCUCUUGGCCAGGGCAACCGCGAGGUCAGGUCCGGAUUUGUUCCGACCGCCGACCAGCACCCGGGCGUCGCC
rnacentral:lncRNA from 1 species